rnacentral:piRNA from 1 species
UCAGAGUGAAUGUUCUUGAAAGAGGGU